CUGGAACGCGCCCCGGCGCACCCAGAAACCCUUUGUGAA
rnacentral:rRNA from 1 species